UACGUAGGGGGCAAGCGUUGUUCGGAAUUACUGGGCGUAAAGGGCGCGUAGGCGGUUCUUUAAGUCAGGCGUGAAAGCCCUGGGCUCAACCUGGGAGUGGCGCUUGAUACUGGAGGACUAGAGAGUGGGAGAGGUUGGUGGAAUUCCCAGUGUAGAGGUGAAAUUCGUAGAUAUUGGGAAGAACACCGGUGGCGAAGGCGGCCAACUGGACCAUUUCUGACGCUGAGGCGCGAAAGCGUGGGGAGCAAACAGG
rnacentral:rRNA from 1 species